rnacentral:rRNA from 1 species
GACGAACGCUGGCGGCGUGCUUAACACAUGCAAGUCGAACGGAAAGGCCCGGCUUUUGUGGGGUGCUCGAUUGGCGAACGGGUGAGUAACACGUGAGUAACCUGCCCUUGACUUUGGGAUAACUUCAGGAAACUGGGGCUAAUACCGGAUAGGAGCUCCUGCUGCAUGUUGGUGGUUGGAAAGUUUCGGCGGUUGUGGAUGUACUCGCGGCUUAUCAGCUUGUUAGUGUGGUAGGGGCUUACCAAGGCUUUGACGGGUAGCCGGCCUGAGAGGGUGACCGGGGACAUUAGGACUGCGAUACGGAGCAGACGGCUACGGGAGGCAGCAGUGGGGAGUCUGGCAGAAUGGGCGGAAGCCAGAUGUAGAAGUGUCGGGUGCGGGAUGCCGGGUUUCGAGUUGAAAACAAAUUUCGAAUGAGCUGAAGAGUGAGUGACGGUAACGAGUCAAGAAGCAACGGCUAACUACGUG